rnacentral:rRNA from 1 species
GACGAACGCUGGCGGCGUGCUUAACACAUGCAAGUCGAACGGAAAGGCCCUGCUUUUGUGGGGUGCUCGAGUGGCGAACGGGUGAGUAACACGUGAGUAAUCUGCCCUUGACUUUGGGAUAACUUCAGGAAACUGGGGCUAAUAUCGGAUAGGAGCUCCUGCUGCACGGUGGGGGUUGGAAAGUUUCGGCGGUUGGGGAUGGACUCGCGGCUUAUCAGCUUGUUUGUGGGGUAGUGGCUUACCAAGGCUUUGACGGGUAGCCGGCCUGGGAGGGUGACCGGCCACAUUGGGACUGAGAGACGGCCCAGAAUGCUACGGGAGGCAGCGGUGGGGAAUAUUGCACAAUGGGCGGAAGCCUGAGGCAGCAACGCCGGGUGCGGGAUGACGGCCUUCGGGUUGUAAACCGCUUUCGACUGUGACGAAGCGUGAGUGACGGUAAUGGGUAAAGAAGCACCGGCUAACUACGUG